GCAAGCCUGAUCCAGCCACGCCGCGUGGGUGAUGAAGGCCUUCGGGUUGUAAAGCCCUGUCGGAGGGGACGAAGUCUUCGGAUUGACGGUACCUUCCAAGAAAGCACCGGCUAACUCCGUGCCAGCAGCCGCGGUAAUACGGAGGGUGCAAGCGUUGCUCGGAAUUACUGGGCGUAAAGCGUACGCAGGCGGUCUGAUAAGUCGGGUGUGAAAGCCCCGGGCUCAACCCGGGAACUGCAUUCGAAACUGCCAGACUUGAGUUUGGGAGAGGGAAGUGGAAUUCCUGGUGUAGAGGUGAAAUUCGUUGAUAUCAGGAGGAACACCGGCGGCGAAAGCGGCUUCCUGGCCCGAUACUGACGCUCAUGUACGAAAGCGUGGGGAGCAAACAGGAUUAGAUACCCUGGUAGUCCACGCCGUAAACGAUGAGUGCUAGAUGUUGGAGGUAUUCACCCCUUCAGUGUCGAAGCUAACGCAUUAAGCACUCCGCCUGGGGAGUACGGCCGCAAGGUUAAAAACUCAAAGGAAUUGACGGG
rnacentral:rRNA from 1 species